UAUUGCACAAUGGGCGAAAGCCUGAUGCAGCAACGCCGCGUGAGUGAUGAAGGCCUUCGGGUUGUAAACUUCUUUUGACAGGGAAGAGCAGAAGACGGUACCUGUCGAAUAAGCCACGGCUAACUACGUGCCAGCAGCCGCGGUAAUACGUAGGUGGCAAGCGUUGUCCGGAUUUACUGGGUGUAAAGGGCGUGUAGCCGGGCUGACAAGUCAGAUGUGAAAUCCUGGGGCUCAACCCCCGAACUGCAUUUGAAACUGUUGGUCUUGAGUAUCGGAGAGGCAGGCGGAAUUCCUAGUGUAGCGGUGAAAUGCGUAGAUAUUAGGAGGAACACCAGUGGCGAAGGCGGCCUGCUGGACGACAACUGACGGUGAGGCGCGAAAGCGUGGGGAGCAAACAGG
rnacentral:rRNA from 1 species